UACGUAGGGUGCGAGCGUUAAUCGGAAUUACUGGGCGUAAAGCGUGCGCAGGCGGUGAUGUAAGACAGGUGUGGAAUCCCCGGGCUUAACCUGGGAACUGCAUUUGUGACUGCAUCGCUGGAGUGCGGCAGAGGGGGAUGGAAUUCCGCGUGUAGCAGUGAAAUGCGUAGAGAUCCGGAGGAACCCCAGAGGCGAAGGCGGCGCUCUGGCUCGCAACUGACGCUCAGACACGACAGCAUGGGGGAGCGAACGGG
rnacentral:rRNA from 1 species